rnacentral:rRNA from 1 species
AGUGAACGCUGGCGGCAUGCCUAAUACAUGCAAGUCGAACGAACGCACGAUAAGCUUGCUCCUCUGAGGGUAGCGGCGGCCGGGCGAGUAAGACAUAGAUCAGCUCCCACUAAGACUUGGGGGACAUCGGGGAGAAGGUGAUACUACCAGAGAAUAUAUUCUACUGCAGAAAGCAGGAGAUAUUCACGUCUUUGCCGUCUCCUUUAGCCGAUGUCGGAUUAGCUAGUUGGCGGGGUAAAGGCCCACCAAGGCAACGAUACGUAGCUGGUCUGAGAGGAUGAUCAGCCACACUGGAACUGAGACACGGUCCAGACUCCUACGGGAGGCAGCAGUGGGGAAUAUUGGACAAUGGGCGCAAGCCUGAUCCAGCCAUACCGCGUGGGUGAAGAAGGCCUUCGGGUUGUAAAGCCCUUUUGUUGGGAAAGAAAAGCAGCAGGUUAAUACCCCGCUGUUCUGACGGUACCCAAAGAAUAAGCACCGGCUAACUUCGUG